rnacentral:rRNA from 1 species
AAGCGCCUAUUACCAGACUCUGUUCUCGGGGAUCAUCCGUCCUUCUGGGCGGUGCACUCCUCUUGGAUGGGGCCAGCAUCGGUUUUGGCCGGGGGAUAAGGACUUAGGGAAUGUGGCUCCCCUCGGGGAGUGUUAUAGCCCUCUGUUUGAUGCCCCGGCUGGGACCGAGGACCGCGCUUCGGCAUGGAUGCUGGCGUAAUGGUAAUCGGCGA